rnacentral:rRNA from 1 species
UACGUAGGGGGCAAGCGUUGUCCGGAAUCAUUGGGCGUAAAGAGCGUGUAGGCGGCCUUAUAAGUCGGCUGUGAAAGUCAAGGGCUCAACCCUUGAAUGCCGGCCGAUACUGUGAGGCUAGAGUCCGGAAGAGGCGAGUGGAAUUCCGUGGUGUAGCGGUGAAAUGCGCAGAUAUCAGGAGGAACACCGAUGGCGAAGGCAAUCCCCUGGGCCUGCACUGACGCUCAUGCACGAAAGCGUGGGGAGCAAACAGG